rnacentral:tRNA from 1 species
GGUCCCAUAGCUCAGUUGGUUAGAGCGUCGUACUAAUACUGCUCGUCUUCCGGGAUGAACUGUAUCAUGUAAAUGCGAAGGUCUUGGGUUCAACCCCCAAUGGGACCA